UCAUUUCGCUAGGUCGCACGUCUCCCCCACCCCCUCGCGUGGCGGCUCUUCCCCGAUCUAACCUCUGUCGCGCUCAUCCCCAUUCUUGUACGCCGGUGGGAUCCUGCUUCCCAUCGCGCAAGGGCCUCGGUACGGCAGCCUCCCACAACCUGGCUUAGAUUUCGGACGGCACCACAACUUCGGUUGGGGGCCUCAAGCAUCGGUGGCGACGCCAGAGGGCGGUGACGAUGGCAGCGAAUCAUCGCUUGUCGGUUGGACUCCACUUGCCGGUGAUUGAGGAAAUAGAUCACCAUGCCACUCUUCAGCGGCUACUACUUGCAGGUGAUCUAGGUUGACUGACUCGAGCUCCUGUGUGCUUCCAAGCUGGGAUUAGCAGUUCCAGUAUAAUUUUUGCCUUUGGAUUGUAACUAAACUCCUUUUGGACGAGCAUCCUUUUCCAUUGACUAAUAAUAGCCAGAUUUGUUUGAUCUGUUUGCAUUUUUCGGUAUACUUUACAUAUAGAGGUUCUCGGUGUACGUAUAGGACCAAUAAUAGUUGUAGAAAUUCUGUAGCCGUCUGGUAUUGCAAGAUAAUGGAUUCAGGAGAGCCAAUUAUAACUGGGAUAAUGAAAAUAGGCAGAAGGCAUUGCUAAUAUUGACAUGAAGAAACACAUUAUUCUGAUAUGUCCAUGAUACUUUAGUGCUCACUUUAUUUUACCGAUGUUCCAAUUUUAGUAGUAUGCAGUAAUAUCAUAUAACUCUAGACCAAAUUUGAGUUUACCACACCCAUGCUCUGAAAGUUCAGGUUAUAACUCUAGACCAAAUUUGAGUUUACCACACCCAUGCUCUGAAAGUUCAGGUUGCCAUGACAUGACCUGUGCUUUGCAGGAUAAAUCAGAGAACAUCUUUGAUGGUCCUUUGAUAGAAUAUAAGGAGAACAACAUAAUACGUAAGGCAUGUACUACAUGGAUCUUGAUCCGGAAUUCAGCAAAACAACUCUAUUGAGUACCUGCAAUAAAAUAGUAAAUUGUUGUUCAUGAUCCUACAGUUUCUGAAGUCAAAAGUAGCAGUGUUUACAUCUAAUUGUAUCCUGCAAAGCUAAUAAAGUCCUUCAUAAUCUCGUGUGGGUGUGGUCUCUAUUAGUCACUAUGUAUUCGCUGAGAUUCUUUCAUUUUGUUGAAUAUGUGCAUCUGCUUUUGUCCGUGCCAUGUUCGGCGGCGCUGGAUCAUCUAUGUUGAGGAUGGCUUCACCGACUUGUGCACCGUCCAAGGUCUGUUUCCCUUUCCUAGGGUUUAACAAAAUAGCAUGAGUUAUUGGUCAAGAGGAGGCCCACAUGCAGCAAGGUAUGUCAAUGCAAAAUCAAUGCAGGGUUUGUUCAGGACAUUACAGUUCGAAGGACAUGCAAAUGUUUGAUUCUCCCUGUGCAGUGUCAAUCAACUGUUGAUUGCAGGAGCAAGGUGUACGAAAAAUUUGUUGGAACCAAGAUACUCAUCUUGAGUGUAGUGUUUUAUUGCAUGAACAUAACAAUUUACUGUUUUAUUGCAGGUACUCAAUAGAGUUCUUUUGCUGCAUUCAGAAUCAAGAUCUAUGUAGUACAUGCCUUACAUAUUGUAUGUUGUUGUUAUACUCUAUCAAAGGAGCAUCUAAGCUGUUCUCUGAUUUAUGAAUUUUCUCUACAGGGGUAAUGGCUACUUCCCCUUUCUUCCUUUGCCAUCUUCCCAGCAGCCAUGGUUCUCAUACCACUGCUCAUUGCGAGGUUCCCAGUCUGCCUUCCCUCCCCACUCUCACAGGAACGCUGACUGGCAGCGCACAUGCCUUUUCCCGACAGUGCCAUGGCACCUCUCUACAGAAAAUAGACAAGAUGGGGACAACAAGUUUUCUUUCUCCCAAUUCUGGCACCCCCAUCACUUCCUUAAUUUUUCAUUACAAUUUUAAUAUCAAUAUUUUUCCUUAAGAAAGUUUGCUAACCAUGGCUUCAUUGCUAAUCAGUUUAUGGUU